rnacentral:rRNA from 1 species
AUUGAACGCUGGCGGCAUGCCUUACACAUGCAAGUCGAACGGUAACAGGUUAAGCUUACGAGUGGCGAACUGGUGAGUAAUGUAUCGGAACGUGCCCAGUCGUGUGGGAUAACUGCUCGAAAGAGCAGCUAAUACCGCAUACGACCUGAGGGUGAAAGCGGGGGAUCGCAAGACCUCGCGCGAUUGGAGCUUCCGAUAUCAGAUUAGGUAGUUGGUGAGGUAAAGGCUCACCAAGCCGACGAUCUGUAGCUGGUCUGAGAGGACGACCAGCCACACUGGGACUGAGACACGGCCCAGACUCCUACGGGAGGCAGCAGUGGGGAAUUUUGGACAAUGGGCGCAAGCCUGAUCCAGCCAUGCCGCGUGCGGGAAGAAGGCCUUCGGGUUGUAAACCGCUUUUGUCAGGGAAGAAAAGGUUCUGGCUAAUACCUGGGACUCAUGACGGUACCUGAAGAAUAAGCACCGGCUAACUACGUG